AGUGAACGCUGGCGGUAGGCCUAACACAUGCAAGUCGAACGGCAGCACAGUAAGAGCUUGCUCUUACGGGUGGCGAGUGGCGGACGGGUGAGGAAUACAUCGGAAUCUACUUUUUCGUGGGGGAUAACGUAGGGAAACUUACGCUAAUACCGCAUACGACCUACGGGUGAAAGCAGGGGAUCUUCGGACCUUGCGCGAUUGAAUGAGCCGAUGUCGGAUUAGUUAGUUGGCGGGGUAAAGGCCCACCAAGGCGACGAUCCGUAGCUGGUCUGAGAGGAUGAUCAGCCACACUAGAACUGAGACACGGUCCAGACUCCUACGGGAGGCAGCAGUGGGGAAUAUUGGACAAUGGGCGCAAGCCUGAUCCAGCCAUACCGCGUGGGUGAAGAAGGCCUUCGGGUUGUAAAGCCCUUUUGUUGGGAAAGAAAAGCAGCAGGUUAAUACCCCGCUGUUCUGACGGUACCCAAAGAAUAAGCACCGGCUAACUUCGUG
rnacentral:rRNA from 1 species